UAGGGAAUAUUGCACAAUGGACGAAAGUCUGAUGCAGCGACGCCGCGUGAGUGAUGAAGGCCUUCGGGUUGUAAAACUCUGUGAUAAGGGAAGAUGAUGACGGUACCUUAUCAGAAAAGACCGGCUAACUUCGUG
rnacentral:rRNA from 1 species